AGGAUAUUAGUUUAAUGGUAAAACUAGAUGUUUCGGCCAUCUUGAUUGCAGUUCAAGUCUGCAAUAUCCUU